rnacentral:lncRNA from 1 species
UUACAGACUCUUGGCAGUAACUAAUACACCUGUAGCAAAAGUGGUUGAAGUUCCUUGGGCUACUCUGUUGAAAUAGGAACUUCUAGUUAAGACCAUGUCUUCUUUGUUCACCAUUGAACAGUACUCAGCUAAGCACAGGGCACGUAUUGAGUACUCAACCAGUAUGUGAGGAAAGACUGGUUAGAGGUAUAAAUGAAUGAAUGAAUGUUGCCAUCCCAUUAUUGAUGCUCUCCAAACUCUUCACUACAAAUGGAGUCAGUUCCAGAAUCCAAAGCCAGCAUUCUUCUCCUGAUUAUGACAUGCACCAAAGAGGCAUCCCCUGAGCUGGAUGUUUAAAUCAGAGCCCACAGCUGAAGUGAGCACCAAGAUGUACUGAGCAAGUGUGGACUCUUACUGAUCCAAGUGGUGAGGCUCUUACAAUGGGCAAGGGCAGAGGGCAUGCGAUAUGUAGGUAACUAUUGUUAGCAUUCCUGAAUCUUCUCCUGUUCUUUAGGCAGCAGCAGCUUCAAGGGUGAACUGUUGCUCAGCAGAGAAAUGGCAGGAAAAAAUAGGACAUUCGCUUCUGGCCUUAGUCCUGUUGGAACACAAAAAGUGGAGUCUGCAAUGCUGUUGGAGGCUCAACAGGUCAAAUACAUCAGUAAUGGGCAUGGUAUGGCUGGGGUCAUACGGAGACAGUCCUUAGAGCACUGAAAAUGUGAUCAUCCUGAAUCCCAUAAGGAUCCUUAUGAGGUUAGAAGGGACAAUGUGGCUCCACUUUGAUGACUGACAGCAGUUGCUUUGGUUCUUCCCCAAACCAUCAUGGACCAGUUGGACUCUGAGAAGAAAAGUUUCUGAUCUUUAGUUCAUUCUUCCAACUCUCUAGAAAGCAGGAAAACUGAGAAUGAAAAAUUCUAAAUUACUCAGGACUCAUGGGUUGCCAAUAGAAGAAAUACAUCUUAAACUAGCUUAAGCCUGAAAGGGAAAUGUAUUUGUUCAUGUAACUGAACCAUAACGAAGGAUGGUGGACUGAGGGACCUGAAAACACCCUCAGGACUCCCUCCCUCUCCUUUGUGCUCCUGUCUGAUGCCGUCUUCCCAGACCUGCUCACUCUCCAUAAGGUGGGGAUGUGGCCAUCAGCAACGUGUACUUCCCCGAAGCUUGUGACCUGAGUAGAUAGGCAUCUCCCAACCCACAAGGAUUGAAAAGUUCCUCUAGGAAUUAUGUGGAUUGGCCCAUUCACUAUGACAUGUUCCCCCUAAGCAGCUAAAGGAACUGGGUCUGUUACCAGAAGAGGUGGGAGAGGGGUGCUAGGCAGAUUGAACAACAGCCACUACAACAUCUGAGGAGGAGACCUCCGUGAAGGCCACCAAGUCUGCUAGCAGAUAUUUCCUCCCUCGGAUCUCUCUCCCUGUCCUCACAGUCUCAUAAGUGAGGAUUAAAUACUACAUGUGGCCUAGGAGAUCUUAGACCCUCCACACGAAGAUAUAGUAACAAUCAACAUCCUAGUGUUCUGGCAGAGAAAAAAUCAGAAAGAAUCGUUUGCCUGAUUUUUCCAUCAAUACCAAUAAUUAAUUAGAGAUGAAAUUUGUGAUGGACUCAGAGAAUUAGAGAAGAUCUAAGGGAAUCUAGAUGAUUUCCUACCCCUAACCAGAGCCUCACAAAAAAGGGUGAAGAUCUAUGGCCGUCUUGCGUUUGGUGUGAGGCUGGACAAGGAAGUUCCUAAGGUCCUUUAGACUCUGUGAGAUCAUGAGUCCGUAAAACCCUUCCAACUUGAAAUUAGUUGAUUCCUUCCUUAAAUUUUCUGGGACAUUCCCCCACUCCCUCCACUCUUAUUAGCUGAUUUUACUGACCAAUAGGCCUUGAAGUUGGGCGUUCCAUCUAGAUGUCUCACAUCAACUCACCUUUUGCAAAUUAAGCCCAUACCCUUAAAGAGGGGAAUUCUCAAGCCAUUAGAAACUAGAGAGUCAGCUGGGCAUGGUGGCUCACGCCUGUAAUCCCAGAACUUUGGGAGGCCAAGGUGGGUGGAUCACUUGAGGUCAGGAGUUCGAGUCCAGCCUGACCAACAUGGCGAAACCCCGUCUCUACUAAAAAUACAAAAAUUAGCCAGGGGUGAUGGCAUGCACCUGUAAUCCCAGCUACUCAGGAGGCUGAGGCAGGAGAAUUGCUUGAACCUGGGAGGCGGAGGUUGCAGUGAGCCAAGUUUGCACCACAGCACUCCAGCCUGGGCAACAGAGUGAGACUCAGUUUCAAAAAACAAAAGAACAAACAAACAAAAACUAGAGGGUCUCCUCUUAGUUCUUAAACCCUCUUAGUCAACAUUUGUGAGCCUCUUUUCUGUAUGUUUUGGCAUCUUUAUUCCUUUCCUUCGUGUCUUGACCAAAUUCACCAGAUCAUGACUCAGAACAAAAUCCUGAGGUUGAAUAUAGAGGUCUAGAACAUCUUCAAAUUAACUGUUUCUCCUCAUAGAGAAUUAAAGAAAUUGAGAAAGCAAGAGAGAGUGUGUGGAGUUUUUGUCCUC